rnacentral:rRNA from 1 species
UACGGAGGGUGCAAGCGUUAUCCGGAUUCACUGGGUUUAAAGGGUGCGUAGGCGGGUAAGUAAGUCCGUGGUGAAAUCUCUGAGCUUAACUCAGAAACUGCCGUGGAUACUAUUUGCCUUGAAUAUUGUGGAGGUGAGCGGAAUAUGUCAUGUAGCGGUGAAAUGCUUAGAUAUGACAUAGAACACCAAUUGCGAAGGCAGCUCGCUACACAAUUAUCGACGCUGAGGCACGAAAGCGUGGGGAUCAAACAGG